GACGAACCGUGCGAACGUUGUUCGGAAUCACUGGGCUUAAAGGGCGCGUAGGCGGGCUGCCAAGUCCGUGGUGAAAUCCCCCGGCUCAACCGGGGAACGGCCUCGGAUACUGGCGGCCUCGAGGGGGGUAGGGGCGUGCGGAACUGUGGGUGGAGCGGUGAAAUGCGUUGAUAUCCACAGGAACUCCGGUGGCGAAGGCGGCACGCUGGACCCUCUCUGACGCUGAGUGCGCGAAAGCGUGGGGAGCGAACAGG
rnacentral:rRNA from 1 species